UGAGACACGGUCCAGACACCUACGGGUGGCAGCAGUCGAGAAUCAUUCACAAUGGGGGAAACCCUGAUGGUGCGACGCCGCGUGGGGGAUGAAGGUCUUCGGAUUGUAAACCCCUGUCAUUUGUGAACAAACCUUUUGGUUUAAUAGAUCAAAAGCUGAUAGUAGCAAAAGAGGAAGGGACGGCUAACUCCGUGCCAGCAGCCGCGGUAAUACGGAGGUCCCAAGCGUUGUUCGGAUUUACUGGGCGUAAAGGGUGCGUAGGUGGCCAGGAAAGUUUGAUGUGAAAGCUCCGAGCUCAACUCGGAAAAUGCAUUGAAUACUACUUGGCUUGAGGAUCGGAGGGGAGACUGGAAUUCUCGGUGUAGCAGUGAAAUGCGUAGAUAUCGAGAGGAACACCAGUGGCGAAGGCGAGUCUCUGGACGAUUCCUGACACUGAGGCACGAAAGCUAGGGGAGCAAACAGGAUUAGAUACCCUGGUAGUCCUAGCCGUAAACGGUGCACACUUGCUGUAGGAGGAUUCGACCCCUUCUGUGGCGGAGCAAACGCGUUAAGUGUGCCGCCUGGGGAGUACGGUCGCAAGAUUAAAACUCAAAGAAAUUGACGGGGGCCUGCACAAGCGGUGGAGUAUGUGGCUUAAUUCGAUGCAACGCGAAGAACCUUACCUGGCCUUGACAUGCAUCUCUAAGCGUGUGAAAGCACGUGACCCUUCGGGGAAUUUGCACAGGUGCUGCAUGGCUGUCGUCAGCUCGUGUCGUGAGAUGUUGGGUUAAGUCC
rnacentral:rRNA from 1 species